rnacentral:lncRNA from 1 species
CUUGCUUGGAUGUUCACACCCUUAACUAGUCCCUGUGGCCAGGGACAGGGCAUCCUGGUUUGGAGUGAGUGAGGCAGUUAUUUACCUGCCUGUAGAGGACAGGUGGAAAAGGGGGAGGACAUUUAGCUCUUCAAAGAAAAAUAGCAGGUGUCCACAUAGGGACCUACGAGCUUUCCCAAACUGGGGACACCAGUGCUGGCCAUGGGAAAGGGACCUUUGUUGGGGUGGAGGCACAGGGGAACGCCUGAGGAGUGAAGCUGUGAUGGGGCUCGGGGCUGCCUAUCCGGAGGUGUGCAUUUCCCUGCCUGUGCUCCCAAGAAGGAGCCCCAAAUGUUUCUCUGGUCUCUCUAAAGUGCUCAGCAGGGAGCAGCAAAAUUACCAAGUUUAGCAUAAACUCCCCUCCCCACCUUGUCCCAGGACAAAGUAAAGAGCUGGUGAAACUGCUCACAAACAUUGCCAGGUGUGCACAGAAGCAGGCACACAACAAUGAGAGUCUCCGGACCUGGGGCAGGGAGUCCCAUCCUGCCAAAUGCAGAGUCCUAUCUUUGUUGACAACUUAAUCUCUCAGAAAGUAGGGGAACAAGAACAACUGCUUCCACAGACUUAAUUGUGGUCAACAAAGAACUGGCUGUUGAAAUGGCAAAGAAAGGAAAUUGAGAAAACAUAACCAUACACUCAGAAUGUGUUUGUGGACUAGGUAUGUGUCCAGAGCUGCCGCUCGCCCCUUCUAUUUUGGACACCUGAGACCUUGCACAUUAGGUAUGGGCAGGGCCACCUGGAAAAGUCAGAUUUAAUGCCUCCAGAAGCUGCCCACAGUCAUCUAGGGAUCGAAGUUUGGUGAAUCAGUAC